GUGUGUGUAGCUUAGUGAAAGAGUGCAUGCUUAGCAUGCAUGAGGUUCUGGGUUCAGUCCCCAGCACCACC
rnacentral:tRNA from 1 species